GACGAACGCUGGCGGCGUGCUUAACACAUGCAAGUCGAACGGUAAGGCCCUUCGGGGUACACGAGUGGCGAACGGGUGAGUAACACGUGGGUGAUCUACCCUGCACUUCGGGAUAAGCCUGGGAAACUGGGUCUCAUACCGGAUAGGACCACUGCCUGCAUGGGUGGUGGUGGAAAGCUUUUACGGUGUGGGAUGGGCCCGCGGCCUAUCAGCUUGUUGGUGGGGUGAUGGCCUACCAAGGCGACGACGGGUAGCCGGCCUGAGAGGGUGACCGGCCACACUGGGACUGAGAUACGGCCCAGACUCCUACGGGAGGCAGCAGUGGGGAAUAUUGCACAAUGGGCGCAAGCCUGAUGCAGCGACGCCGCGUGAGGGAUGACGGCCUUCGGGUUGUAAACCUCUUUCAGCACCGACGAAGCGCAAGUGACGGUAGGUGCAGAAGAAGGACCGGCCAACUACGUGCCAGCCGCCGCCGUAA
rnacentral:rRNA from 1 species